GUAGGUGGCAAGCGUUGUCCGGGAAUUAUUGGGGCGUAAAGCGCGCGCAGGCGGUUCUUUAAGUCUGAUGUGAAAGCCCACGGGCUCAACCGUGGAGGGUCAUUGGAAACUGGAGAACUUGAGUACAGAAGAGGAAAGCGGAAUUCCACGUGUAGCGGUGAAAUGCGUAGAGAUGUGGAGGAACACCAGUGGCGAAGGCGGCUUUCUGGUCUGUAACUGACGCUGAGGCGCGAAAGCGUGGGGAGCGAACAGGAUUAGAUACCCUGGUAGUCCACGCCGUAAACGAUGAGUGCUAAGUGUUAGGGGGUUUCCGCCCCUUAGUGCUGCAGCUAACGCAUUAAGCACUCCGCCUGGGGAGUACGGCCGCAAAGGCUG
rnacentral:rRNA from 1 species